CUCUGCUCUGUCCCGCUGUGUGCCAGUCCCGCUCUGCCUCUCCACUCUCAGCUCUCUCCACUCGUCCUUUCUACAUCCCUCCACCGCUUCUCUUCCUCUUAUCACUGAUAGCAAGCCGGAUCUCGGGCCGCUACUUCCACCACCACCAAACUGCCCCCUGGAGAAUUUACUUUCACCUACUUUUUCUUUUUCAAUUCUGCUGUCCUGCACCUUCCCCUCCGGAGAGGCCGGUUGGUGCGUGUCUGGCGCGUGCGAGAGCUCCGGUGUCGCGCUCUUUGCCCCCCCCCCGAGGGAAUCCCUGGCGGUUGUCUGAGUCGGAGGAGAAGAACUUUUUUCGCCACGAUGAACGUUCAGCUGCUGCUGGUGUUGGCCCUGGUCGGCCCUUUCUGUGCCUUUACACAUGCAAGCCACAUCAGUGACAGCCGCAGGUCCACACACACACACACACACACACACAAGCACGUUCAGUAUAAGCCGACUGGCCCUUUUACGAUUGGCCCCACAGAGAUCCCCAAAGACCUUGAUGAGAGCGACGGUGCCGUAGCAGACCUUGGACCUGCCGUUACAGAAGCUUCGGCAAUGGACUUGACUGUUACCCCUGACCCUCCUGCAACCGAACCAGAGACGUCCCCAGAAGAUGUUGCGGCAACGGAAGGAGCCGCGACAACGGAAGCAGCCGCGGCAACAGAAGCAGCCACGGCAACGGAAGCAGCCGCUUCAACGGAAGUUGUCACCGGGACGGCGCUCCCCAGCACUGCAUUGAAUACCGAAGACACUGUGAAAACGGAAGCCCCAGCUGCUUCUACUGCAUCACCAGAACCCAUAGUCACUGUAGUGGACAUAACAGACCCCAGUAACACAGCAGAGGGUGAAGUCCAGCCAACGGAAGCAGUGACAGAAAAAGCGGUGGUUGUUGAAGAACAGUCAGAUGAGGGCAUGAGCUCUGGCCAGGUAGUCGGGGUCGUGAUUGGCGCUCUGUUGGCAGUGGUCAUCGCCAUCGCCGUGGUGAUCGCUGUGGUGAGGAGGAUGGGAAAAUACUCCCCUUGAGGAAGAAGUCGGCCAAGCGGCGGGAGCGUUUAAAGUUCUGGAAAUCCUGAACUACUGAACUGUGACGUCAUUCACGACCAUUAAAACAAGCACCAUACCGUAACUAAACUAAUCUAACCAGCACUCUGGACUUUUGCCAAAUAGGGGGAGGGAGGCUAGUAUGUGUUAAUGUAUGAACUGUAUGUAUGUGAGACGAGGGGUACAUGAGCAGACAUCCUCAUCUUCCCUGUCGCAUCCCUCCCCACUGCUCCCCCGGAGAGAACAAAACAAGGUGACGGCAGGAUGUAGUUUGGAAUUUCAGGCCUUUUUUAAAAGCAUUUUGUUUAGAAAAAAAGAGAGAAAGGAAUGUAGAGGAUUAUCUGACCUUUAGGCAUAAAACGUAUCCCUCAAAGAAUGACCGAUGACACAAAUGGAUAUUACUGAAAAAACAAAAGGAAGUUAAUUACAAAUGGAAGGUGCCAGCAGUAGAAAUUGCUCCAAAUUCCACAGAAUGUAUAUAUACCACGCAAGGGGACUACAUAGCACACAGCUAAUGACUUUCUCAUAUGUUGCAGUUGCAUAGGCGAGCGUUUGUUAUUAUAGAAUACACAGUACAUACAGGCAGGCUGCUGUUGUGGCUACCAGAACUUUUAAAGCAACCCUGAGCACCAGUUAAAAUAUUUUCUCAUGUAGCCAGAAUCCCUGAUAUGUCGGCCAACCGUCUGCAGCACCGUGUGCACGAGUUGUUUUGACACAGCGCGCCCAUGAGCGCUGAGGGCGAGCACGCAGCGAACGGGAAAGAAAAGGCACCCUCGUUUGCAAGAGCAACGUGACAUUCUGCCCACUUUAACACUGACGUAUAAAAACCUAAUACAUAUCUGUGAAAUUCAGCAGAAGGGUUUGUGCCACUGUCUCUGGUAUUCUCUAGGUAGUUUGGAGGACUUUAACUUUUGAAGUGCAUUAUUAAUGUGAAUUGACUGUACCUUUUUAACUGCCACCCAUUCCAGACAGAACAGCUAGUAUGACUUGUUCCAUAUUAAAGCUUACGAAACAGCCCUUGGUUAUUAGACAUAGUGAUAGCAUUGUCUUGAGAAUGUCUUCAUAGUACUUUUGUUAAUAGUUAGAUUACCAGAACAGCAAACCGGUCCUUAAAAUGAGCUAACCCCCCCGAUUGCGUGCACAGGUUGACAUUUUAUAGUUUCACUUAGUUUUAGUACACAGUAUUAGGCAGUAAUGCCCUAUUUUGUUAUUGUUGCAAUUGUAAGUGUGCCGAAUGGGUGUACAAAUAAUGAAGUCUCAGCUUCGCUCUGCUUGCUUUACAAACUCGUUUAACAUGUGCACUCAAUGAGUGAUGUAAUGUUUAAUGAAUAGGUUUUAGACACUGCAAAAGUUUGCAACGACAUGUCUUUGUUUCCUCUCCUCAGCUUUGCCACGUACCAUCAGCUCUAGGUUUAAUUUGUGCCAUUGGAUCUAUUCAAACCCUUUUAUUUAAUUGCAGUGUUUUUGUUCAUACUGUUUCAAUAAUAAACUGAAAACACUCUUAAAAAAAACGUUUUUGUCUUUCGCGCAUGAAGUUUCUCAAUAGCUUUUUCAAAAAUCUGGUUAUCGUCGACGCCAUUUCCAAU
ensembl:lncRNA